CGGUUACAUCAUAGUACAGGUACACAAUCAACAAGGCAUGCAGUGCUCCAUCCACAAUUACAUCCCAAUACACCACCACCAUUCACAGCCUACUCCGAUCCCAAAAAAGAGAGGUAAGUCGCGUCGACGAACAGUCUUUUCAUCUUCCUCCAUUGGCAGCCAUUGCUAACACUCCAACACCUGAAGAACUCCUCAUUUGGGGGUGAAGGCCUGGAAGAUGGUGGCGUGGCCGGGGUCGGCGAGAUGGGCGAAGAGGUUGUCGAUGGGGCCGGUGCCGGUGUACUCUGCCUGGAACCAAGCUCCCAUGACGGCGAGCAUGGCGAGCCGCCCGUUCUUGAUCUCCUUGGUGCGCAGCUCCUUGAUCUUCUCCGGCGAGCCGGUGCCCCAGCCGAGCGGGUCAAACCACAGACCACCAGGGUACCCGACGUCGGUG
rnacentral:misc_RNA from 1 species